rnacentral:rRNA from 1 species
AAUCAACGCUGGCGGCGUGCCUCAGACAUGCAAGUCGAACGAGAAGUCCCCUUCGGGGGAUGGAUAGUGGCGCACGGGUGAGUAACACGUGGGUAAUUUACCUUUGGGUGGGGAACAACAGCCGGAAACGGCUGCUAAUACCGCAUAAUGCAGCGGCUCCUCAUGGAGACAGUUGUUAAAGCGGGGGAUCGCAAGACCUCGCGCCUGAAGAGAAGCCCGCGGCAGAUUAGCUAGUUGGUAAGGUAAUGGCUUACCAAGGCGACGAUCUGUAACCGGCCUGAGAGGGCGGUCGGUCACACUGACACUGACAUACGGGUCAGACUCCUACGGGAGGCAGCAGUCGGGAAUUUUGGGCAAUGGGCGAAAGCCUGACCCAGCAACGCCGCGUGAAGGAUGAAG